GACGUUACCUACAGAAGAAGCACCGGCUAACUCCGUGCCAGCAGCCGCGGUAAUACGGAGGGUGCGAGCGUUAAUCGGAAUUACUGGGCGUAAAGCGCAUGCAGGCGGCCUGUUAAGUCAGAUGUGAAAGACCCGGGGCGUUAACCUCGGAAUUGCAUUUGAAACUAGGCAGGCUAGAGUCUUGUAGAGGGGGGUAGGAAGUUUCUAGGUGUAGCGGUGAAAUAGCGUAGAGAUCUGAAGGAAUACCAGUGGCGAAGGCGGCCCCCUCGGACAAAGACUGACGCUCAGAUGCGAAAGCGUGGGGAGCAAACAGGAUUAGAUACCCCUGGUAG
rnacentral:rRNA from 1 species